GAUGAACGCUGACAGAAUGCUUAACACAUGCAAGUCAACUUGAACUUCGGUUUGGGUGGCGGACGGGUGAGUAACGCGUAAAGAACUUGCCUCACAGAUAGGGACAACAUUUGGAAACGAAUGCUAAUACCUGAUAUUAUGAUUAUAUGGCAUCGUAUAAUUAUGAAAGCUAUAUGCGCUGUGAGAGAGCUUUGCGUCCCAUUAGCUAGUUGGAGAGGUAACGGCUCACCAAGGCGAUGAUGGGUAGCCGGCCUGAGAGGGUGAUCGGCCACAAGGGGACUGAGACACGGCCCUUACUCCUACGGGAGGCAGCAGUGGGGAAGAUUGGACAAUGGACCAAGAGUCUGAUCCAGCAAUUCUGUGUGCACGAUGAAGUUUUUCGGAAUGUAAAGUGCUUUCAGUUGGGAAGAAAAAAAUGACGGUACCAACAGAAGAAGUGACGGCUAAAUACGUG
rnacentral:rRNA from 1 species